rnacentral:rRNA from 1 species
UUAAAUGGCCGCGGUAUUUUGACCGUGCUAAGGUAGCAUAAUCAUUAGUUUUUUAAUUGAAAGCUAGAAUGAAGGGUUUGAUGAGAAAUUGACUGUCUCUAUUUUAUAUUUUAAAAUUUUAUUUUUAAGUUAAAAAGCUUAAAUUUUAUUAAAAGACGAGAAGACCCUAUAGAGUUUUAUAAAAUAGGAUAUUUUUAAUUUAGAUUUUUAUUAAGAAUAGUAUUAUGUAUUUAAUUGGGGUGAUUAAAAAAUUUAUGUAACUUUUUUUUUAUUUUAAUAUUAAUGAGUAGUUUAUUGAUCCAAUAAUAUUGAUUAUAAGAUUAAAUUACCUUAGGGAUAACAGCGUAAUUUUAUUGGAGAGUU